GCUUAAACACAAUAACAGCUGUUCGAAACAUCCUUUUGUUAAGUGUGCUGGGCACCUGAUCAAAAAAUGAGCACUCAAAUUAGACGAGGAGAACCCAGCCCACAAUCUGGGGGAAAUUCUAAGGCAGCAGCUGAAGGAUCGGCAACUGAAAGAGAGAGAAGCCUGGAGGCAAAACGUGCUCCAGUGCUACAUGAAGAACCAGUAUCGGUAAGGACACCAUUUUCCAAACAUGUAAAAUGCCUGAAAGACUUCAUGAAGGAUCCAAAAAGGGAAGAACCUCUCGUAGGUUUGGAAUAUAUACUUGAAAUCCGAUCUAAAGGGAAAAAACUCCCUUUUUAUGAAUGCGAGCUAUGCCAGUUUAAUAUGGAGUUGGUGCCGAUGAUAGAACAUGUCACUGGCCAAAAACACAGAAAAAAAUAUCUUAUGAAACAUUAUCCAGAGAAGGUAAAGAGGAACCCAAAUGAAAGUAAAGAAGAAAAAUUUUGGUUUUUUAAACGGAUAGCCAAAGAGGUAGAGAAGAUUGAAGGUUUAAAAAUGUAUAAGCGUGAAAUUCGUGAGAAACCCAACGUGCCAAGUAGAUCUGCAAAGAAGAAAGCAAGGUAG
rnacentral:lncRNA from 1 species